UGCAAGUACACUGAAAAUAAGGAUCGGCUAACUCCGUGCCAGCAGCCGCGGUAAUACGGAGGAUCCGAGCGUUAUCCGGAUUUAUUGGGUUUAAAGGGUGCGCAGGCGGCGCUUUAAGUCAGCGGUUAAAUCGUGAGGCUCAACCUCAUCCCGCCGUUGAUACUGGAGCGCUUGAUUGCGGUCGAGGUUGGCGGAAUUCGUCGUGUAGCGGUGAAAUGCAUAGAUAUGACGAAGAACACCGAUUGCGUAGGCAGCUGACCAGGCCGUAAAUGACGCUCAUGCACGAAAGUGCGGGGAUCGAACAGGAUUAGAUACCCUG
rnacentral:rRNA from 1 species